AACUGCGACCCCAGGUCAGGCGGGAUUACCCGCUGAG
rnacentral:rRNA from 1 species